CCUACGGGAGGCUGCAGUGGGGGAUCUUGGACAAUGGGGGGAACCCUGAUCCAGCGACGCCGCGUGGGUGAAGGAGUAUUUCGGUAUGUAAAGCUCUAUCAGCAGGGAAGAAGGAAAUGACGGUACCUGACUGAGAAGCCCCGUCUAACUACGUGCCAGCAGCCGCGGUAACACGAAGGGGGCAAGCGUUAUCCGGAUUUACUGGGUGUAAAGGGAGCGUAGACGGCGAUGCAAGUCUGAAGUGAAAGGCGGGGGCCCAACCCCCGGACUGCUUUGGAAACUGUAUGGCUGGAGUGCAGGAGAGGUAAGUGGAAUUCCUGGUGUAGCGGUGAAAUGCGUAGAUAUUAGGAGGAACACCAGUGGCGAAGGCGGCUUACUGGACUGCAACUGACGUUGAGGCCCGAAAGCGUGGGGAGCAAACAGGAUUAGAUACCCUUGUAGUC
rnacentral:rRNA from 1 species